UGCAGCUCUUUGUCUUCUGACUGAGAAAACAAACUCAUUUCUGUUGGUUUGUCUGUAUGGUGGGAUAAAAAAAAACAUAUUUCAAAAGAAUCUCACAUUUCAAAACCAAAGAGUUCUGAUGAGGAAAGCUCUGGGUUUAUAGGAAACCCUGUUAGAAAACGUGUGUGUGUGUGUGUGUUUCUGUUCACGUCCUGGGGAUUUAUCUGGUAAAUCCUGUAAACUUCAACACACUAAUAAUAAUUUAGACUUUAUUGGGUCUAAAAGAGGCAGUUUAUGCACCAGCUAAGCGUCCUGAUCCAUCAGAAAUAUCUUACAGUAAUAAUGAUACAUUUUAUUAUUAUAACACUUUUCUAAACACUUUAGAGGAAUCAAGUAAAUUUACAAAUGCAACGCCAAACCAUAAAAAGGAGAACACGUAAAUACUAGAAAAAUCAGAAGUA